GGAUGUGGCUCAGUGGUAGAGUGCUUGCCUAAAAUAGAUGAGGCCCUGGGUUCAAUCCCCAGAUUAA
rnacentral:tRNA from 1 species